GGGUGAAUAGCUCAGCUGGUUAGAGCGUUACGUUGACAUCGUAAAGGUCGUUGGUUCGAGUCCAAUUUCACCCACCA
rnacentral:tRNA from 1 species